GACGAACGCUGGCGGCGUGCUUAACACAUGCAAGUCGAACGGUAAGGCCCUUCGGGGUACACGAGUGGCGAACGGGUGAGUAACACGUGGGUGAUCUGCCCUGCACUUCGGGAUAAGCCUGGGAAACUGGGUCUAAUACCGGAUAGGACCACUGCCUGCAUGGGUGGUGGUGGAAAGCUUUUGCGGUGUGGGAUGGGCCCGCGGCCUAUCAGCUUGUUGGUGGGGUGAUGGCCUACCAAGGCGACGACGGGUAGCCGGCCUGAGAGGGUGACCGGCCAGACGGGGACUGGGAUACGGCCCAGACUCCUACGGGAGGCAGCAGUGGGGAAUAUUGCACAAUGGGCGCAAGCCUGAUGCAGCGACGCCGCGUGAGGGAUGACGGCCUUCGGGUUGUAAACCUCUUUCAGCACCGACGAAGCGUAAGUGACGGUAGGUGCAGAAGAAGGACCGGCCAACUACGUGCCAGCCGCCGCCGUAA
rnacentral:rRNA from 1 species